rnacentral:lncRNA from 1 species
CAGCGAUGGCCGCGGAGGGGGCGAACUGGGUUCCGGCCCUCGGAGGCUGACGGAAGGCGGUGGCUGAGGAGCGGCGCCUCUGGUUGAGCGCUCGCCGUGUGUCCCGCACCUGUCUGUCCUGCCGCCGCCCGAGUCUCACUCUGUUGCCAAGGCUGGAGUGCAGUGGCGGGAUCUCGGCUAACUGCAACCUCCCCAUCCCGGGUUCAAGCGAUUCUCCUGCCUCAGCCUCCCGAGUAGCUGCGAUUACAGACAUUUGCCACCAUGCCCGGCACAGCACAGCACCGCACAUCUCCAGUCGGACUGGCUACAUUUCAAGGGCUCAACCAUCACGCGUUACCAGUGGCUACUGCAUCAGACUGUGCAGUGCUAGAUGGGGAGUCAGAAGAGAAACCAAGUGAUUUCCAUGUCAAGUGGUGAACAGGCUAAGAAGAAAAGUAAAUUGGGGAAAGAGCAUGGGGAAUGUGGGGGUUGCUGUUUGAAAGAGGAUGGUUGGGAAGGCUGAAGAGCUGUCAUUCGCAGAGGGACCCAAAAGAGAGUCUCGCUGCAUCCCCCAGGCUGGAGUACAGUGGUAUGAUCUUGGCUCACUGCAACCUCUGCCUCCUAGGUUCAAGUGAUUCUCCUGCCUCAGUCUCCCGAGUAGCUGGGAUUACAGGCGCCCACCACCAUGCCCGGCUAAUUUUUGUAUUUUUAGUAGAGAUGGGGUUUCACUAUGUUGGCCAGGCUGGUCUCAAACUCCUGACCUCAGGUGAUCUGCCUGACUUGGCCUCCCAAAGUGCUGGGAUUACAGGCAUGAGCCACCUUGCCUGGCCUCUUCCUAAUGAUUUUUUAAAGUACAUCUUGUUUUCUCUGUCUUACUUUAUCAUAAAAAUAUAUGAUACAAAUAAAAUACAGAAUAUGUGUUAAUGGACUGUGUAUGUUAUGAGUAAGCCUUCCAGUCGACAGUGGGCUAUUAUUGGUGGUUAAGUUUUGGGGGAGUGUGUGUUCAAGGGUCAACCGCACUUCCUGAGGGCACUGUGAGAACUAAGUUAAAUAACCCACUUUUACAAUCUUUGGAACCGGGGGCAGGUGGCUGGGGCUCACACCUGUAAUUACAGCACUUUGGGAGGCUGAGGCAGGA